rnacentral:rRNA from 1 species
AUUGAACGCUGGCGGCAUGCCUUACACAUGCAAGUCGAACGGCAGCACGGGAGCAAUCCUGGUGGCGAGUGGCGAACGGGUGAGUAAUAUAUCGGAACGUGCCCAGUGAUGGGGGAUAGCCCGGCGAAAGCCGGAUUAAUACCGCAUACGACCUACGGGUGAAAGCAGGGGAUCGCAAGACCUUGCGUCAUUGGAGCGGCCGAUAUCAGAUUAGCUGUUGGUGGGGUAAAAGCCUACCAAGGCGACGAUCUGUAGCUGGUCUGAGAGGACGACCAGCCACACUGGGACUGAGACACGGCCCAGACUCCUACGGGAGGCAGCAGUGGGGAACUUUGGACAAUGGGCGCAAGCCUGAUCCAGCCAUGCCGCGUGCGGGAAGAAGGCCU